rnacentral:tRNA from 1 species
AGGGUUGUGGCUCAGUGGUAGAGCACUUGCCUAGCAUGUGUGAGGCACUGGGUUCAAUCCUCAGCACCACAA